rnacentral:rRNA from 1 species
GACGAACGCUGGCGGCGUGCUUAACACAUGCAAGUCGAACGAAGAGCGAUGGAAGCUUGCUUCUAUCAAUCUUAGUGGCGAACGGGUGAGUAACGCGUAAUCAACCUGCCCUUCGGAGGGGGACAACAGUUGGAAACGACUGCUAAUACCGCAUACGAUCUAAACUCGGCAUCGAGGAUAGAUGAAAGGUGGCCUCUACAUGUAAGCUAUCACUGAAGGAGGGGAUUGCGUCUGAUUAGCUAGUUGGAGGGGUAACGGCCCACCAAGGCGAUGAUCAGUAGCCGGUCUGAGAGGAUGAACGGCCACAUUGGGACUGAGACACGGCCCAGACUCCUACGGGAGGCAGCAGUGGGGAAUCUUCCGCAAUGGACGAAAGUCUGACGGAGCAACGCCGCGUGGGUGAUGACGGCCUUCGGGUUGUAAAGCUCUGUUAAUCGGGACGAAAGGCCUUCUUGCGAAUAGU